rnacentral:rRNA from 1 species
GAUGAACGCUGGCGGCGUGCCUAAUACAUGCAAGUCGAGCGAACGGACGAGAAGCUUGCUUCUCUGAUGUUAGCGGCGGACGGGUGAGUAACACGUGGAUAACCUACCUAUAAGACUGGGAUAACUUCGGGAAACCGGAUCUAAUACCGUAUAAUAUUUUGAACCGCAUGGGUCAAAAGUGAAAGACGGUCUUGCUGUCACUUAUAGAUGGAUCCGCGCUGCAUUAGCUAGUUGGUAAGGUAACGGCUUACCAAGGCAACGAUGCAUAGCCGACCUGACAGGGUGAUCGCCCACCCUGGAACUGAGACACGGUCCAGACUACUACGGGAGGCCGCAGUAGGGAAUCUUCCGCAAUGGGCGAAAGCCUGACGGAGCAACGCCGAGUGAGUGAUGAAGGUCUUCGGAUCGUAAAACUCUGUUAUUAGGGAAGAACAUAUGUGUAAGUAAAUGUGCACAUAUUGACGGUACCUAAUAAGAAAGCCACGGCUAACUACGUG